AACAGUCUGCGCAUCUCGAUAACCUUAUGCCUAAAUAACCCGAACAAUCUUAUUUAUUAGGGAAUCUUACUCCGACUUGUGGGAAUGCAGGCCUCCCUCUUUUGAGGAAGUUGGAAGCACAAAACCUGUUGGGAGAUACCCACCUGCUUUAAACGCAGGUUAUAUUCGGCAAAGGCGGAUGUGCGGACAUUAU
rnacentral:other from 1 species